rnacentral:rRNA from 1 species
AUACAGAGAGUGCAAGCGUUAAUCGGAAUUACUGGGCGUAAAGCGCGCGUAGGUGGAUACUUCAGUCGGAUGUGAAAGCCCUGGGCUUAACCUAGGAACUGCACCCGAAACUGGGUAUCUAGAGUACAGUAGAGGAGGGUAGAAUUUCUUGUGUAGCAGUGAAAUGCGUAGAUAUAAGAAGGAAUACCAGUGGCGAAGGCGGCCCUCUGGACUGAUACUGACGCUGAGGUGCGAAAGCGUGGGGAGCAAACGGGAUUAGAAACCCCAGUAGUCC